rnacentral:rRNA from 1 species
GACGAACGCUGGCGGCGUGCCUAACACAUGCAAGUCGAGCGGAGAAACAAAAGAGCAGCUUGCUGCGAUUUGUUUCUUAGCGGCGGGCGGGUGAGUAACGCGUGGGUAAUCUGCCUCAAACAGGGGGAUAACACAGGGAAACUUGUGCUAAUACCGCAUAAGACCCCACCAUGGCAUCAUGGAGAGGUCAAAGGAAGAAAUUCCGGUUUGAGAUGAGCCCGCGUCUGAUUAGCUAGUUGGUGAGGUAACGGCUCACCAAGGCGACGAUCAGUAGCCGAACUGAGAGGUUGAUCGGCCACAUUGGGACUGAGACACGGCCCAGACUCCUACGGGAGGCAGCAGUGGGGAAUAUUGCACAAUGGGGGAAACCCUGAUGCAGCGACGCCGCGUGAAGGAAGAAGGCCCUCGGGUUGUAAACUUCUUUGACCAGGGACGAAGAAAGUGACGGUACCUGGAGAACAAGCCACGGCUAACUACGUGCCAGCAGCCGCGGUAAUAGUA